AGCAGCCGCGGUAAUUCCAGCUCCAAUAGCGUAUAUUAAAGUUGUUGCAGUUAAAAAGCUCGUAGUUGAACUUCGGGGUUCACCCAUUGGUCAGGCUUAAUUGUCUGCACUGGUGAGAUGAGUCUCUACCUUCUGAGGAACUUUCAUGUCAUUAAUUUGGUGUGAUGGGAAAUCAGGACUGUUACUUUGAAAAAUUAGAGUGUUUAAAGCAGGCUAACGUCUGAAUACAUUAGCAUGGAAUAAUGAAAUAGGACGGACUGAUUCUAUUUCGUUGGUUUCUAGGAUCACCGUAAUGAUUAAUAGGGAUAGUUGGGGGCAUUAGUAUUCAAUUGUCAGAGGUGAAAUUCUUGGAUUUAUUGAAGACUAACUACUGCGAAAGCAUUUGCCAAGGAUGUUUU
rnacentral:rRNA from 1 species